rnacentral:rRNA from 1 species
UACGAAGGGGGCUAGCGUUGUUCGGAUUUACUGGGCGUAAAGCGCACGUAGGCGGAUCGUUAAGUCGGGGGUGAAAUCCUGGAGCUCAACUCCAGAACUGCCUUCGAUACUGGCGAUCUCGAGUCCGGAAGAGGUGAGUGGAACUCCUAGUGUUAGAGGUGGAAUUCGUAGAUAUUAGGAAGAACACCAGUGGCGAAGGCGACUCACUGGUCCGGUACUGACGCUGAGGUGCGAAAGCGUGGGGAGCAAACAGG